CCAGUAGGCGGCCAACUAAGUCCGACGUGAAAUCCCAAGGCUUAACCUUGGAACUGCGUCGGAUACUGGAUGGCUUGAAUUCGGGAGAGGGAUGCAGAAUUCCAGGUGUAGCGGUGAAAUGCGUAGAUAUCUGGAGGAAUACCGGUGGCGAAGGCGGGCAUCCUGGACCGACAUUGACGCUGAACGGCGAAAGCUAGGGGAGCAAACG
rnacentral:rRNA from 1 species